GUGAUGUUUCCCAGGGCUCCGAAAGGUGAGGACGGUUUCUGGUCGCUGA
rnacentral:snoRNA from 1 species